rfam:Oleiphilus sp. HI0009 HI0009_c19, whole genome shotgun sequence.
UUUUGAUCGACUUUUGAUCAAUGUAUGUAUAGAGUUCGCCUCAGCUAGUAAGACACACCGUGUAUUUACAUCCUACAUGUCGUUGUUAUUCGUAUUCCUCGUCCUGCAGUUGUUACGCCCAGUUUGUUUUUUCCAGCACAUUUGCCGCAUACAGGCGUUUUAAUUGAUUUUUUUCAGGAUAUAGAUAUGUCUAAUACAGUUACUGGUACAGUAAAAUGGUUCAACGAAACUAAAGGCUUUGGUUUUAUCGCUCAAGAAAAUGGCCCAGACGUUUUCGCUCACUUCCGUCAAAUCAAAGGCGAAGGCUUCAAAACAUUGGCUGAAGGCCAAAAAGUUGAUUUUGAAGUAACACAAGGCCAGAAAGGCCCACAAGCUGAGAACAUCGUUCCACAGUAAUUAAUACUGUUUACGAUCCAGCAAAAAGGCGAACUAAACGGUUCGCCUUUUUUG